GCAGCUGUCUCUGCCUGGGACUGGCUGCUCCCAGGGCCUACUGUCUGCCUCCACAUGGCCCACCGCCACCGUUAGGGCCGCCGCGCUGGGACCAGCAGCCAUUUCUGCCUGGGACUGGCUGCUCCCAGAGCCUGCUGCCUGCCACCACAUGGCCCGCCGCCACCAUUUGGGACUUACAGCAUUUCUGCUGCCUACUGUUGCGGGGAUCUUGCAGCAUUUUUAAAAAAGAACAACAUUUUGGUGCCACGUGACUCGGAUGAUUCGCCCGCCCCAGACUUUCACCUGGGGCCAGAGUUCCGGCUGUAGGUGCCGUCCAGGACUCUGAGCUCCCUCCUGGGGCAGAAUCAGGACUCGAGGACCUUCUCUACAAUGACCCACGUGUUCCAUCUGCCUGGACGCAGCUCCUCCAAACAACAAAUCAACUAAUCGAACCAUCUAUCUCAGAAGCCAGAGUCCUUCAGCCUUUGAAAGGUGCACACAUCCUACCAGCACGAUCUCCAGAAAAAGACAGAAGCAGAAAAUGCAACCAACUUGCUGAGUUUUGCCUUAACUUCUAAACACAUCACCAUCAUCAUCACCAUCAUCACCAUCAUCA